rnacentral:rRNA from 1 species
AGGACGAACGCUGGCGGCGUGCCUAAUACAUGCAAGUCGAACGGGUCUCCUUCGGGAGGCUAGUGGCGGACGGGGGUGAGUAACACGUGGGUGAUCUGCCCUGUAGUGGGGAAUAACGCUGCGAAAGCAGUGCUAAUACCGCAUAUACUCCUCGGUUCAUACCGGGAAGCAAAGCUUUAUGCGCUACAGGAGGAGCCUGCGCCCGAUUAGCUAGUCGGUGGGGUAAUGGCCUACCGAGGCAACAAUCGGUAGCUGGUCUGAGAGGAUGACCAGCCACACUGGGACUGAGACACGGCCCAGACUCCUACGGGAGGCAGCAGUAAGGAAUAUCCACAAUGGGCGCAAGCCUGAUGGAGCAACGCCGCGUGCAUGAUGAACGCCCUUCGGGUGUAAAAUGUACGUUUUAGGAGGAUGAGACGGACAGUACCUCCUGAAUAAGCGUUCGGCUAACACGUGCCAG